UGUCCUGUGUGUACUGAACAGACAGCCCAACUGGGUCCAAAAUACACCCGAACAGUCCACGGAAAGGGCAAGCGUGCUGAGUCCAACGACCAACGUGCUGAUAUGUGUACUGAUGGACAGCCAUGGAAGUCCUGUGUGUGCUGACGGACACAUACGGACACACACGGACGUCCUGUGUGUUCUGGCGGACACCCUCGGACGUCCUGUGUGUACUGAACAGACAGCCCACGUGGGCCAAUAUCAUCCGAACAGUCCACGAGAAGGGUCAGCGUGCUGAGUCCAAGGACCAACGUGCUGAUAUGUGUACUGAUGGACAGCCACGGAUGUCCUGUGUGUGCUGACGGACACACAAGGACAUACACAGACAGCCACAGACGUCAUGUGUGUGCUGACGGACACACACGGACGUCAUGUGUGUGCUGACGGACACCCACAAACGUCCUGUGUGUAUACACGGACACACAAGGACACACGGACAGCCACGGACGUCAUGUGUGUGCUGGAUUAUGACUGAACACCUCUAAGUUAGAAUCCGGGCUAGAAGCGACACAUGCGCCCGUUGCCCGAUUGCUGACCCUCAGUAGGAGCUUCGGCUCCCAAAGGCACGUGUCGUUGGCUAAGUCCAUUCGGCGGAAGCGCCAUUCGGACCGCCUUGAAUUAUAAUUACCACCGAGCGGCGGGUAGAAUCCUUAGCAGAUGACUUAAAUACGCGACGGGGUAUUGUAAGUGACAGAGUGGCCUUGCUGCCACGAUCUACUGAGAUUAAGCCCUUUGUCGCUAAGAUUCGG
rnacentral:ncRNA from 1 species